GGCAGGAGCAGAAACAUGAAUCUGGCUCUCUAACCAGUGGUGUUUCCACUCAUCUGUGGCUCCUGAAAGAGAACCCUAGAGCAAGUCAGGCCUUAACACCAUGCCCUGUAUUAACAAGCAAGGACCUGGCCUUGCAGGUAAAAACCUUCUAGGGAUGAGACUUUCUGCCUCAUCUUGGGCUCCACCCAAAGCCAGGUGAGUCCUGUAAAGACUGUGACUACUCCAGGAUCCACACAGACCCAGCUGCCAUGCCUGCUAGCAUUGAACUUCACUACUUCUUAAUCCAGGCAACAAAUCAACACAACUGAACGUAAGUCACUGGAGUAGAGAAAAUGAGGCAGGCGUAAGGACUUCUAAAGAGCCGAAGAAAUGAAAGUUAGGGCUGGAGUCUCUUCAAUUGUUCCUUUACUGCCAGUCUUUAACUCCUGAGUCACCCUCCACACCCCACCGUUCAAACUGCGACUCCGCUGCCUUACCAGCAACGAAGUGGAAAAACAUGUCAUCUAAAUCAGGCCAGAGUUGAAUCUUCCAGCAACUCUUAGCCAUCAUGUGAUGUAAUAAGGAAAUCUGUUGGAUCAUAGAUUGUCCAACCAUGCUGUCACUUUAUGGAUCAAACUAGAUCUGCUAAUUGUGAGAAUGUCUCAGUAACAGACACCAGGACUCUCAUCAAAGCAAAGAGACAAUGGGGAAGAGGAGGAGAGGAGCAAAAGAGAAGAGAGAGGAGGCAGAGGGAGAGAAAAUAGAAAAAAAAGGGAAAGAGGAAACUGCGUGUUGGAUAGCAAUUCACAUUUUACGAAGAAUUAAAACAAAGCGGUGGCCCAUCCUGAGCUUCAGAAUCACAUCAUGAUUAUGUCUAUUGCAGGAGAGGAAGCAAAAGCCUGAAGAAUCGAGGCAACUGCCGAAGGCAGUGCGAACUGACACCAUUCCAAGGCUCUUUCUUGGGGCGCAUCCCUUCUAGGUUGUAUUAGUGUUAGGGGUGUGCGUGUGUGUGUGUGUGUGUGUGUGAUCUUCCUAUUUUGGGAGCACUCAUAUUUUCAGGAAUCAGUCUGAGGAUCUGGAAAAUGGCUUUGAGACAUCUAGUGGGAAAUCUGCAAGGAGCCUACAUACAGUACAGAGAGUCCCUCGUGCUGGCUAGUUUAUGCCAUGAGGUGGUCAGGCAGGAAUUAUUUGUGAGUCACGUUUUGCACGAGAGAAGACUGUGGUCUGGGAAAGUUAGCUGGCUUCUUGGAGCUCACCAAGUGUGGGGUGGAUUGAAAUCUUCCACCAAAAGGCUCUGGGCACUGUUCCAGACAGACUGUGCAUCCCUGACACCUCCUGAUUUCUCAGUCAGCGAAACAUGAACACUGCUGCCUGCACAAGCAGUCUGGCAGUGCCAACACUCAUAAAAUUAGCACACUGUGAAGGCCUCUGCCCAUGGAUGUAGUCACUAUUCUGCACGGCAUAGUUACAUGGGAAGUCCGUCUACAGAGACACGCUCCUCAUUUGGACGGGGUAGGGCUCCUCGGCCCUCCGGUCUCCAGGUACCCAUUGUCUACCCUGCAGCUGUUCCCUGAAAUCUGCUGUGUGUGCUAAGGGUACAAGAAGGACUGCUGAUGUUGUUUGCAGUCCUUGUUUUCCCCAUUUGAAUGAUCCCAUCAGAACGCAUUCAUAUCGCCCAAUGGAAUAAAGUCAUAUAAUAGGGUGCCACAUCCCUCACCCCGCUGCCAUAGCUGGCCACUAGCGAGUGGUGAGAGUUCCUGAACCCGGAGGACCACUUCGAAGGGGCUUUCUUCAGAAGGCUGGGCUCAAUCUCGAACUAAGCUUGUGUGUUGCUCGCUCUCUCUCUCUCUCUCGCUCUCUCUCACACACACACACACACACACACACAAUACAAAACAAAAACCCUUCUAAGGUUUUUGCUGGUGAUUCAAAUAGUUCCACAUGGGAUCGUAAGAAAAUGAGCCAUUCCUCACAUCAGUAGGAGAAAAUUCACUUGGCUCUAGGGCAUAGGCAUGCACCCUACUGCGUAUCUUAAAACUGGUUCCCCAUCUCGUUUUGGAUGUGGUACUGAAAUGCUUCAUGAUCAUGUUCAAAUGUACCUUUUACUGUGUUUGAUCUCUGUUUUUUUUUUUUCUCAAAUUCUCCUCUAGAUCUUUAUUCAUUUCUCUAUUCAUUUUUACUUCAUAUGAGAGGCAGAGGGAGAGAGAGAGAAAGAGAGAGAGAGAGAGAGAGCGAGAGAGAGCUUGAUCUCCCUGCUGGUUCACUUCCCAAAUGCCUACAACAGCCAGAACUGGGCCAGGCCAAAUCCAGGAUCCUAGAACCCAAGUACUUGAGCCAUCAGUGCUUCCCAGGGUGAGCAUUAGCAGGAAGCUGGAUUGGAAGUGCAGCUGCGACCUGAACCAGGCACUCCCACAGGGGAUGCAGGUGUCCCAAGCAGUGACUUUAACGACUAUACCAAAUAUCUGCCCUUUUGUCUGAUUUCUUUUUAAAAAAAAAGUCAUUUUCCUGAAAUAUUUAUUUUACUUAUAUUUAAGACACAGUUACAGACAGAGAAAGGGAGAGAUAGAAGGAGAAUCCCCCACCUGCUGGUUCACUACCCUAAUGGCUGCAAUGGCUGGUUGAAGUCAGGAGCCAGGAGCUUCUUCUGGGUGUAUCACAUGAGUGCAGGAGUCCAAGCACUCGGGCCAUCUUCUGCUGCUUUUCCAGGCACAUUAGCAGAGAGUUGGAUUGGAAGUGGAACAGUUGAGACUUGAAGCAGCGCCCAUAUGGGAUGCCAGUGCCAUAGGUGGAGGCUUAACCUACUACACCACAGCACUGGCCUCUGUCUGAUUUCUGAAUCAUAUCUCAGUUGCUAAUAUCUGCCCCCAGGUCCCAGUAGUGAUUCUGAGCCUAACAGUCAGUACAGAACAAAAUCUUUUUUCAAAUUGGUGUAAAAAAAGAUUGAUGUGCAAUAAAAAAAAACAAUUAUAUAGAAAGCAUAUACAUUCUUGUCAAUCAAAAAAUUUUAAAAGGACAAAAAAUAUACACCCCUUAAAACCCACCCAAAAUGAGUCAGCCUAUGGAAAAAGGAGCUCACUCUGAAUAUGCCUUCAGUAUUUAUUGACUGCCUCCUAAUGCCACACAUUUUUGCUAACACUAGGGAUACAAGAGUGAAGGAAUAAGACAGGGGCCAGCACUGUGACUCAGUGGUUUGAGCUACCACUUGCAGUGCCCAGCAUCCCAUGUGGGCACCGGUUCGAGUCCUGGCUGUUCCUCUUCAAUCCAGCUCUCAGUUAUGGCCUGAGAAAGCAAUAGAAGAUGGCUCAAGUCCUUGGGCCCCUGCACCCACGUGGGAGACCUGGAGGAAGCUCCUGGCUCCUGGCUUCGGAUCGGAGCAGCUAUGGCCAUUGCAGCCAUUUGGGGAGUGAACCAGUGGAUGAAAGACCUUUCAUUCUGUCUCUCCCUCUCAUUGUCUAUAGCUCUAUCUCUCAAACAAACAAAUAAAAUAUUAAAAAAAAAGACAGACAAAAUCUCUGAAUUCACUGAGUUUAUAUUCCACUUGGUGGAAACAAAAGAAAGACACAAAUAUACUAGGGAUGCUAAAUGCUAUACAGAGUAUGUUAGGGGAAGGGAGACAAAGAGUGAUGACCCUGUGGGUGAGUUAUUUAGUACAGGUGGCAUUUGACCCAAUAUGUGGAGAAGGAGUUUGUCUUGUGGCCAGAUGGAGAAAGAGUGUUCCAGACCCAGGAAACGUGGUUGGAAAGGUCUUUGUGGUGGGCACGUGCUUGGCUAUCUCGAGACCAGCACAGAGGCCAGGGUGAGUGGAACAGAGCAUGGGAGGCCAGCUAGCUACAUGAGGCCUCUGCAGGGGCCCUGGGGCAUGGCAGGGCCUGUGAGGGGCUAUUUUCUGACUCUCCGUGAGAUGCACAGUUUUGGGGACGUUCUGAGUAGAGGUAUCAUGUGACCCAACUCAGGUUUCAAAGUGAUACCCUGGCUGCUCUGUGGACAAUAGACUGGAAAUGGUGGUAGGUGCCACAGAGAAGCAGAGAGAAAGAGAGUGUUCUGCCAUGGGUUUCAGGCUGAAAGAGUUGUGUCUGAACCUUAGUAGUCUACAGUAUUGGCCCAAAUGAGAGGAAUCUCUGGGCCAUAUUUAGGAAUGACUUAUUGCUAGAGGCUUUAACUAUGAAAGAGAGGUCAGAGAAAUUCAAACUCAAAGUUACAGAGGCGGGAUGGAUGGAGAAAUGUGAUUCAGAAUGCUUUUUCAAAAAUGUAUUUAUUGGAGAGGCAGGAAGAGAUAGAUGGAAAGAGAGAUAGUGUGUGCCCAUACACUGCUGUCUCACUCCCCAGUUGCCCACAGAUGGCUGAAUGCCUACAGCCGCCGAAACCAGGAGUUGGGAGCUCAACCCAGGUCUCCCACAUGAGUGGCAAGAACCCAGUUACUUGAGUCAUCACCUGCUGCCUCCCACAGUCUACAUUAGCAUGAAGCAGGAGAUAGGAGCAGCUCCAGAGAUCGAUCCCAGGUAAUAUGAUAUAUGGUGCAGGCGUCUUAUUGGAUGUCUUAACCACUAGUCUACCCUAGGAAGGUUAUUUAAUAAGUACUAAUAGUAAAUGGGAGUAAGAAAUUCUGGGUCCUAUUGCACAGUAGGGUGCCUAUAGAUGACAAUGUACUGUAUAUUUCUCUUAAAGAAAACGAAACUAGAAGAAAGGAUUUUAAAUAUCCUUUACCAUAAAGAAAUGUUAAAUGUUUGAGAAUACAGAUAUGUCAACCAUAUUGAUAUUAUACAACAUAUACAUGUAUCAAAGUACCUCAUAAAUAUGUGCACUUUUUAUGUCAGUUAAAAUUUUAAAUAAUAUUUUUAGGGGCUGGUGCCGUGGCGCAGUAGGUUAAUCCUUCACCUGAGGCACCGACAUCCCAUAUGGGCGCCAGUUUUAGUCCUGGCUGCUCCUCUUCCAAUCCAGCUCUCUGCUGUGGCCUGGGAAAGCAGCGGAAGAUGGCCCAAGUCCUAGGGUCCCUGCACCUGCAUGGGUGACCAGGAAGAGGCACCUGGCUCCUGGCUUCGGAUCGGCGCAACUCCGGCUGUUGUGGCCAUUUGGGGGGUGAACCAACGGAAGGAAGAACUUUCUCUCUGUCUCUCCCCCUCACUGUCUGUAAUUCUACCUCUCGAAUAAAUAAAUAAAAUCUUUAAAAAUAUAUAUUUUAAAACUUUUUUUAAAGCCAGGAUUUAUAUUAUUUUAUUUGAAAGUCAGGGAGAGGGAGAGACACAGAGAGAGAGGAGAGAGACCUACCCACUGGUUCACUCCCUGAAUGGCCACAAGGACCAGGGCUGGGCCAGGCCAGAACCGGGAGCCAGGAACUUCAGCCAGAAGUGAAUGCUGAGCAGCUUAUGGGCUGCUCCACACUGCCGGCCCCUUAAAACUUUCUUAAUAUCCUUAAUGUUAAAAAAAUUCUGUGACUGUUUCUACUUCCUAAAGUAAUGAAAGUAAGUGUUCUUUUUUUUUUUUUAGACUUAUUUUAUUUAUUUGAAAGACAGAGUUACAGAGAGAGAUAGAGACAGAGAGAGAGGUCGUCCUCCCAGAUGGCCCCAACAGCUGGAGCUGUGCCGAUCUGAAGCCAGGAGCCAGCAGCUUCUUCCAGGUCUCCCACGUGGGUGCAGGGGCCCAAGGACUUGGGCCAUCUUCUAUUGCUUUCCCAGGCCAUAGCAGAGAGCUGGAUUGGAAGAGAAGCAGCAGGGACUAGAACUGGCACCCAUUUGGGAUGCCUGCCUUCAGGCCAGGGCUUUAACCCACUAGUCACAGCAUAUACACUGUGCCCCAUAUAAUUGCUCUUAAUUCUUAUAUGACUUGAAUUAUUAACUGGGAUGUGAUCUGAAUUAUUUAGCCAGUUCUCAAUUGUUAAAAGAAGCAAAAGAUCAAAUCCUUAGGUUUCUAUAGAAGUUAAUGGUAAAGUAGGGUACAUUGCAAUCAGAAAAGUUGAACUCGCUCAGAAAUAUAGUCUUCUCUCAACAUACAAAGAAGCACAAGUUACAGGACUUGGAAAAGAUCAUUCUUUGUAGAUGAAGAAACAGAGACCAGAGAGAUAAACUGGCCAAGUCCCAUAAACUCACUGAGCUUGGAACAGCAUUUUCAGUUCAGCCUUUUGCCUCCUCCUCGAGCUUCAUCCUCCUGUACUUUAUUUGUAACAUUUUGUAACAUACUAGAGGUUUCAAGCACAUCAUUCAGAGCUCCUGGCAUGAAGAACCCAGACUUCUUCAUUUCUGCAGCACCUAACAUGACCUGGCCCCGUGCACACCAGCCUGGCCUGGCAGCUGUCUUCCUUGAUCUCCUUUCUCUGUCUCACGCUUGAGCCCUGCACAAGCCCCUGGGAAUUGUAGUUUCUGCUCUGACGGCUCUUCUGUGCCUGCCUGUGUUUUAUCCGCUCUCUCCACAGAGAGGGAGGGGCUAAACAGAUAAGUUCUGGGUGUCUGAAGGGUCUGAAGCACCCCUAAAUGUUUCAUUUUAUUCCUUCACCCAAAGGAUUUGCAUUUUCAGGUCUUGGGGUUUAAAAAUGUGACUGUAUUCUCCCAUUACUUUAUUUAUAGUUACUCAUGCAUUUGUCUCCUGAGGUGGGAGCCCAGGAUGAAUUUUAGGGUCAAAAAUUCAAGGGUUGGGGGUGCUGGUGGGGCCAGUGUUGUGAUGCAGUGGGUUAAGCCACCACCUGCCGUGCUUCCGUCCCAUGUGGUCACUGAUUUGAGUCAUGGCUGCUCCACUUUUGAUCCAGCUCUCUGUUAACGAACCUGGGAAAAGCAGCAGAGGAUGGCCUAAGUGCAUGGACCCCUGCACCAAUGUGGGAGACCCAGAUGUAGCUCCUGGCUCCUGGCUUUGCCCUGGUCCAGAUCUGGCAGUUGUACCUAUUUGGAGAGUGAAUCAGCAGAUGGGAGAUUCUCUCUCUCUUUCUCUUUCUCUGUAACUCUACCUUUCAAAUAAAUCAGUUUUUUUUUAAUUGCAUAGGAUUUGUUCUGUUAUGUUGGUGAUAACACAACUAUGAAAAAAAAUUAGGAACAAAGGCCAACUCACUUGGAAAGGUGCAAGUGAGGAGGACCCACCUCUGCAAUACUGGCUUUGUCACUUUCAUCAUGACCUGUCUCCUGCAAGGCCCACUUUCUCAACUGUGAAAUGAGGGAAGAGGAGACUGGAUCUCUGCCACUACAGGGGUUUCAAAUGCUCAUCUGUCACAACCAUUCUCACACCAGACCUUUAUUUCACAGCUGCAAGCCCCGUAUGAAGUCUCAAUGUGCUCCGUCAUACUCUCAAACUCUGGAUUUCCAUUCAGACCAAUAAAUAUUUGCUAGGAGCUACCCUUGAGUUCACUGCUAUGCCAGGCACUGGGAAGCAAUGACAAAGAAACAUAAAAUGUCAUUUCUUCUUUUAAAGAGAGCUAAUUGGCAGAGAGGCCUGUUUGCAUUCAUGAGAAGUUUACAUUAUAGGUAUUUUUUUUAAAGAACUCUGUUUUUGGUGUCUUUUUGCACUUUUAGUAAUUCAAAAUAAGCCUGCAAAGCACUGCUUAGGAAAACACUUAGAAGAAUUCUUUAAUUAAUCCACCAAAAUGCCUCACAAUGAACGAAUCAAGGCCUUCUUUGUAAAUGGGGGGAUCAGAGACCUGCAAAACAAUUGAUUCUCUUAAAUAUUGGACACAUUUUUUUCAUAGUUUCACAAUCUUAAUUUGUCCUAUUAUAGAAGGAAAAAAUAAACUGCUCGGAAGCUUGCUGAAGGGUCACAUGUUUCAGAAUGAUUGGAAUCUACACUCUGAACGAAAAGUGGAAUCUUUCUGUUGCAAUGUUUUUCUGCUCCUCUCUGCAUGUCAAAAUUCUCACCAUCCUCGAAGGCUGAGUUCAAACAUUACAUCACUCCUAUUAAUGGUGACUCCUUCCUUGAGAUCUACAUGACUGACCGUCUGCCCUGCCACACACCACUCUUCACGUCUUUGUUUGCAUAUUUGCCAUCUUUCGCCCUGGGUGGGUCUCACCUCCUGACACUGUGUCUUGUAAGCCCUUGGUUUCCAUGUGAUUUUAGAGCAGUGAUCUGUUGCCUUUCUCAGCUGUGCUAACAAAAUCAUAAUGACCCAAGCAAGUUAGAAAUUUCUUUCUUGUGUAUGAAAGAAAGAAAGAAAGAGAGAAAGAGAGAAAGAGAGAAAGAGAGAGAGAGAGGGAGGGAGGGAGGGAGGGAGGAAGGAAGGAAGGAAGAAACUAGGAUUAGCAGCGUAACUAAAGUGUCAGGAAGCAGGCUCCUCCUAUCUCGUUGAGAAUGAUUAGUAUAAUAACUCCUCAGCGAGACUGUAAAAGGCAGCCACCGUGUCGUUUUACUCACCAAUGUGCCUGUUGCACAGAGCACAGUGCAUGAUCACGUGGGCACUCAUUCAAUAAGCACUGGCUGGAGACCGGAUGCAGUGAGGUCAUAAGUGCGAAGGUCCUUGCAAACGGCUCACGGUAAUUAUUAUUUAAAAAUGAGACAUCUAUAGACAAAACAGAACAGAAAGCAAGUGAAGGAAGUGGUAGUCAAUGCUACCAGUCAACUAGGAGGAACUGAAUUUGAUUCCAGGCUUCUUGGAAACAAAGUACAAAAGGAGAACAUGGUCGGUUACUGAAUCUUCUUUUUCUAAAGGAACAAACUUGUGAAGUCAUUUGCAGAAGGCAAGUUUUCCUGGUGAUUUAUUAAAAUGCUGUUGCCUCCCAGUUGAUACUUAAGCAUGACCCGAUCUCUCAUACUUGAAAGAGAGGAGAGAAGGAGGGAAGAAAAGAAAUCUCCCUUUGCUCACCUCCAGCAGUUUUCCAGCAACCCAGAUGCCUUUAUGGAUGCUGUGCUCUUGUCCCCCGUUCACGUUUGGGCUCACCGUGUCUGGCUUCAGCUCUCAGCAUUCUAGCAGAGCUGCUGUCAGGAAGGGCGAUAGCAGAUUUACCGCGGCUCCAUCUCUGCUUCAAUCUUGAUUGCAGCAGACAUUUCUUAAUCAUCUGAAACACUUGACCUUGACGAGAUCAGGCCCCACGGCUCUGUCGCACUGCUUUUUCCUAUAUUCCUAGGUGCUUUUCCUCGGUUUCCUGUGAGGGCUGCUCGAGCUCUGGUCUUCUAUUCAAUGUUGGCAUUCCUCAGGUUUUGCAAGCUUUUUCUCCCCCUGUUCUCACUCCAUAUACUCUUAUUCUUUCUUGAAAACAUUAUCUACUCUUAUGGCUUUAAUUACUCUCUGAAUUCUAAUGACUUCCAGUUUUGGGUCCUUAGACUAGAUUACACACUGAGUUUCAAAUUCAGCUAUUUAACUUCCUCUUGGACAGCCCAUACAUACCUUGAGUUCAGCAUGCCCCAGAUUGAACCUAUAUGUUCCCCCCUCUUUAACCUUGGGUUCCCAUGUGUUUGGCAUCUCAGUGAAAAGCCUUACCUUCCACAGGAUUUCUUAAACAGAAACUGUAUCAUCUUCAACCCUCUCUUGCUCUGACUCACCAUGUUGCAACAAGGGCUAUCAAUUCUACUUCCUAAAUGUCUUUCAAAUCCAUCUACUGAUUCCUAUCCCCUAGCUAAGCACAUGUCCUGGAUUUCUGCCAGAGCUCUUGAGCAGGCUCCCCGCCCUGAGCCUGCCUGCCUUAUACUUGGUUGUCCACAAAGCAACCCAAUGGAUCUUUUUUUUAUUUUUUAAAAAUAUUUUAUUUAUUUAUUUUGAGAGGUAGAGUUACAGACAGUGAGAGGGAGAGACAGAGAGAAAGGUCUUCCGUCCGUUUGUUCACUCCCCAGGUGGCUGCAAUGGCUGGAGCUGCGCCACUCCGAAGCCAGGAGCCAGGUGCUUCCUCCAGGUUUCCCACUGGGUACGGGGGUCCAAGGACUUUGGCCAUCCUCUACUGCUUUCUGGGGCCACAGCAGAGAGCUGGACUAGAAGAGGAGCAGCUAGGACUAGAACCGGCGCCCAUAGGGGAUGCCGGCGCCACAGGCAGAGGAUUAACCUGUGCCAUGGCGCCGGCCCAACAGAUCUUUUUGAUGAAACAUUCUGAACUUGUACUUGUCCUGCUUAAAACUUAACAAUAGCUCUCUCUGGCCUUCAGGAUAAAGUCUUAACUCCAUAACAUAGUUUCAAGGCUCUUUCAGAUUUCACUCGUACUUACCUUCCAGUCUUUUCUCCUCUUGACCCCUAGAAUCCACUGCUAAUCUCCACACUUCCUGUAACUGAACUGCACCUGCUCUUAGUGGCACCUGGCUCUCAGGGUUGCAUGUGCUGCAUUCAUCCCCACACUUCUCCUGAGUUACUCCAAUUAUCUUACGUUCUCACCAUACAAGUAACCUCAUUUGUUUUUAAUAGUCAACAAUACAUCUACUCUGUGCCAGGCACUUAUAAUACAACAUGGAACAAGGCACACAUGGUCUCUGCCCCCACCAACUUAGUCCAAGGGGCCUUCCUUGACUUUUCAAGACUAUGGUGUCUUCCGUGGAACUCUGUCUUCAUGCCACAUAGUGCUAUCUCCAGUGCAUUUGAAUGGCUUUCAGACCAGGUUCUAAAUCAGAGUUAGAAACCUCUUUCCAUAAGAGGAGAGAUGACAGAGAAUAAAUAUUUUGGCUUUCUUGGACAUACAAUGUCUGUCAAAACUGCUCAACUCUGCAUUUGUAGAUCAAAAGCAGCUGCAGACAAUAUAUAAGUAGAUUGGUUUUCAAUAAAACUUUAUUUGCAAAAGCAUAUGGUGAAUGAGAUUUGGCCUUUUGGCCAUGGGUUGCUGACUCUUGGUCUAAACAGCUAAGCUAGGGGUCGGCGCUGCGGCACAGUGGGUUAAAGCCCUGGCCUGAAGUGCUGGCAUCCCAUAUGGGCGCUGGUUCUAGUCCCGGCUGUUCCUCUUCCGAUCCAGCUCUCUGCUAUGCCUGGUAUAGCAGUGGAGGAUGGCCCAAAUCCUUGGGCCCCUGCACCUGUGUGGGAGACCCAAAAGAAGUUCCUAGCUCCUGGCUUCGAAUCGGCACAGCUCCAGCUGUUGCGGCCAUCUGUGGAGUGAACCAGCGGAUGGAAGACCUCUCUCCAUGUCUCUACCUCUCUCUGUAAUUCUGUCUUUCAAAUAAAUAAAAUAAAUCUUUAAAAAAAGUAAACAGCUAAACUAGGAAGAUCUUAUUUAUCUUGAACAGUAUGCACAAGCAUAGUAUUUGAAAUAGAAGCUUUCGAUGUAAGUUAAUUGGAUGACCGAGUGAAUGGUAAAUGAGAAGGUUAGGAUGGAUGUUAAAUUUUUUUUUCUUCUGUGGCCGUGUCUCCAUACUCCACACUCAUUCUGCAUAGUCAGUGACAUCCCCCCCCCCCCAAUACACACACUCCUGGCCCCUACGGAAGUGUUUAAUUCAUAAAGUGAUUGGUGUGUAUAUAGUUGUAUUCAUUCCUUUGGGUCUAUAAGCAUUUAUUUCAGUCAGCUUACAAUCUUUCUGGAGCAGGCAGGAUACUGCUGGAAAAAAUUGUUAGUGCAAUCGAGGCUGAAAGUCCUUAUCGUGCACAGGGGACUGGAAGUUUCAGUGUGCAGAGGGGACAAAGAUAAUUCAGGUAAGGUAUUGUCACUAUAGAGCUUAGAUUUUAGAUAAGAAAGUGAACAAAUGCUUACAGCACAAUGGAGAAGGUCUAAGUCCUUUGAUUGAGGAAGCAGCAAAAUGUCCUAAGACUUUUACAGGCAGUAAAAUUUAUCUUUGGUCGAAGAGAUAAAAGACUCGGAAGAAGAAGGAUUUGACCUGGAAGUUGGAAGGCAGAUUUGGAAUAGUGAUAGGACACUAAAGGUCCUUCCAGACAGGGAAAAGCAAAGGCACACCCACCCGUUACUAGAAAGCAAGUUUUAAUGAAGCUGCAUCCAGGGACUGGCUGAUAAAAGUGAAGCCAAAUCCCUUUAAGAAGGUGCCAAGUCCAUUCCGGUCUGGAAUGCAUUGAUAAUUAGGACAUUAUGCUCAGAGACUGCAAACUGACAUUCUGUCGUCAUCCCCCUUGGAAUAGAAACUCUGAGCCUUUAAAGUAAUUAGCACCAAUUUGGAGUGUGUGUGCAAAAAUAAAUCACCAGUGUCCAAAAACAGAUACGUGAAGUUCAAUGGUUAUGAGGCACACGUUCUUAUUAGCUCCACCUACCUAAACAAGAUCAAAAGUGAUCAGCAUUUAAAAAUAGAAGAGACAAAGGCAGUUCAUGGUUCCCAGUGGAAAAUUAUUAUUUAUCUAAAAGUCCACAGUGAUAAUUUUGCACUCACCCUUCCAGAUCUCAGCUGUGUUGCUUCGAUGGUUGGAAGAUUGGUUUUCUUUCCUGAGGGUUAGGAGGGAGAACUGUGAUUCUAUGCACGGCAAGUGCCUUUGAAACUGAAAGGUGAGUGUCCUGUGCUGAAUAAACAAGUAUCUUCAUUCCAUUUCCUCCCCACUACUUCUUCAUUGUGUCUCAUCCAUGCUCUUCCGGUGAGAGGACAAUUUGCUGUGUCUCAUGAGUAUCAGCCAAAACCGCUCCCAGAAAUCCGUUUGCGUGCAGCAGGGUUGGCCUUUGCCAUGCGGACACCUGGCUGCUGUAGAAAGCCUCAGUGGCCCACUUGAAGAAGGGUGGCCUUUGGCCACUCUGACGAACACCCCAGUGCACACUUCGAAGUGGUCCUGGCUAUCUUCUCUAGAACCUAUUGUAUCUCGGCCAAGGAUGGAGCCUUCCUGUUGGCAGGAGGUAGCAGAAGGGGGACAGAGGUGGGGACACGGAAGCUAAUGAGGUGGUAGAGAACACUGGCCAGUGGCUCAAGAAGACCGGGCAUCCCAGCUGUGCCAGUGCCUUGCUAUGCACACUUGGCCAGGCCACUUGCUCCUUCUGGGCCUCAGUUUCCUCAUCCUUUAAAUGAGGGACUGAACCGGGUCAUUUUCUUACUCUGUAAGAAGGUUUUUUUACCCUAUUAAAGAUAGAACUGAAGACUUUUAUCUGUCACAUGCCACCCACUGGCUUGGAAGGAUGUGACAAAUGGCAUGUUGGGGCUCAGACAUUUUUUUUCUAGUCCCUAUUUAUAAAAUGAGUGCACGUGUACCCCACCCUUCCUUCCUGAAAGAUCAUGGCAUUAGGAAGCCUGAAUAGACAUCGAGGAUACAGAAAGUCGGGUUGGCAGGGUCAUGGCAGAGCUCACCACUUGGCCGUCAGUCCAAAAAACAGAGAGCCUGGAGUUUAACUGGGGACAAAGGAGAAGGCUUUGCUAAAAGUUGCAUCUGGGAGGCAAAUUCUGUUUCUACUAUAUUUUUCUUGUUCUGGCUAUAGGAUGUCUAAACUUGACCUAGGGCCUGGGGAUCGAUGAACAUGAAUCUACUUUGAGUAAAAAUUGCAGUGGAGUUGUGUGGAGGUGUGCGGUAGGUUAAUCUUUAACUAUAAGCUUCUGUUAGGGCUUUACUUAUUUUUCAUACCCUUUCCCCCAAGGUAUUAUUUUUCUCUUGUAAUGAUACCAGUCACUUUGACUGCUUUGUACAUACACCAGUGGUUGGGUUUUAGGUGUUGUGUGUUUUGUUUUUUUUUUCCCCUUCUUUCUGCAAAAACUUAAGACUCAGCUAAAGUAGCUCCUUCUCUGGGUAACUUCCCAUCUACCAUGGGCAAUCUAUAUUCCAUAUUUUGUCCAUUUUUUCCUUAGCAGUUACUUUAAGCUACUUUAGUUCCCCGGGGUGUGGGUCCAUCUUUUCUGUAACGCUCUAAGUUUUUGGAGAACUAAGAACAUCUCUGUAUACAUAGUUCCAAGGCCAGGAAUGCUCCUUGUGCAUGAUAAUUGGAUAAAGGAAUGGAAGGAAGAGGACCUUCAUCAAAAGCCCAAUUGUGGCCUACAAGCCUUUGAGAGUAAUACAAGCUUAGCCGUGCCCUUUGCUUCAUUAGGGAUCAAGAAUCAGGAAAGGUCAAAGAAUGGACAGACCUGUCUUGGCUGCAUUGGAGUUCUUGUCUUACAUCUUAAUGGCUGGGAGUUCCUAACACUCAUCCCUGACUGCUCAUGGGUGGCCUGAGUACUCAGAGGUUCUGCCCAGGAUCAGCAGAUGGGGAGAAAGGGCAAGAAGGCAAUUUGUAAACUUGGAGUUGCCAGUCUCAGCAUGAGGGCCUCCCAGAGUCAAGACUGGCUUUGGCUGGGGGCCUAGAUCUAUUCUCUGGGCAUCAGCAUGGGUCAACUUGGCCAUUCGGAGGAGGACUUUGUAAGGAGCAGAUAGAUGCUUGGGGUGGUCCCUGCAAAGAUGUUGGAAGGAGUGGGAGAUAGGGUAGCCUCUUGACUUGGGCACACAAAGGAUAAGAGCAGAAGACAACACAACGAGUCACCUGGUGUCUGUCCACCACUGCAGGCAGGGAGGCACAAAAGAGGGUUCAGAAAUGUUGGCGACAGACAUGUUGGCAAGGGGUCGGGCGAUGACACAAAGUCCUCACGGGCAGGAGAAAGAGGAAGAGUGGAGCAGGGCACAGGGACAAGAGAGACAGAGAUGGGACAAAUAACAGUGGGAAGAUGGGGUGGCAGGGAAGGAGGGACAGGUGCAAGGGCAGUAGAUAGGCUGGCUGGCAGGCAGGAGGGAAGGAAGAAACAAAUGUUGGUUAAAAGGAGAAAACACAAGCAUCAGAGAGAAAGUUAGCUCGGGUAGGGGAGAGCGAGAAGAGAAAUGGAGGCGCAGUGAGAGCGAGCUUCAGGGUAACUUGAUGCACGCCCGACCUGCUCAGCAGGCGUUUUCUUCCAUAAGUCGGGCCUGGGGAAGAUCUAUGCACACAGGAAAAAUGUGCUGACUCCUGCCCAGGGCCUGCCUGAGGACAGAAGCAGAUCAAUUCACCUGGGUGGGGCUCUCCUGCCAGCGCUCUGUGCCUGGCUAGAUCAGGCCAGGCCAGGCAGAGACGCCCAGUGACCAGCAAACUGCUGGAAGGCUGUCCAUCAGCUGCAGGGCAGCGUCAGCCUUUUGACUUGAGAAAACCCCCUCCUCUGCCCAAAUCAGCUCUGCAGAGCUGGCUGCCAGCUCCCUGCCAGGCCCAGCUUCGGGUCCAGUGAGACGGCACCCAUUGGCCUGGGGAAAUGGAAUCGGAACAGGCUUCCAGGACCCUCUAGGCGCCAACGCAGCCCGGCACAAUCAAUUGCUGAGAUAAUCCUGGGGUACAUUUGCAAGUGCAGCAGCAAGCAUUCGGAGCAGAGUGUCCCCUCUGAUCUUAACCACUGGGUGCAAGUUACAGGGGGAAAUGUUUCAGCAGCAGCAAGGCCUUUGAAAUCAAAGCCAGGCAAAAGCUGGAUUCGUAAAGUCAGGCAUUUGUUGUUUUCCUGGAGCUUUUUGAGCAUCUACAACACAGGGAGCGUGUGCUGGAGGCUGAGGAUACAGAUAAGGGAAGGCGUUUAGUGGUGGGGUGGGAGAAGUGACUGCUCCCACUGCCCCACCUACCAGAGCAGUGCAGGUUUACAGGAAGGGCUGGGGAGCUCAGACAAGCCAGGCUUCCUGGAUGGUGCCACGUGAGCACAACUUUAAUGGUUGAGUGGAGACCAGGAGGCAGAGAAAGUCAAGGGAUCCUGCACCGAGAAGGAAGCACAGGAAAAAAGUUAAGGAUGCGUAAGUGCACAGUUAGGCUCACCUGGAGGGAGCGCAGUGUUGGACCACAGCAGGCCGGGCAGAGACACAGGUGGGAUGGGAAUGGGGGCCACCUAAGGAAAGCACAGGCCCAGAGACAGCUGAGACUUUGGUCAGAAGAGAACUUGCCAACCAUCUGUCACCUUUAUCAUGAUAUUGUCUGUUUAUUAUUGAAGUUUUGUAUGUGCAUGUAUGUGUGUGAAGUAAACAGAGCAGGGGACGUUCUACUACCAACUAAAUAAGUUAUUCCACUUCUCCAUGAGAAUCCCACUUGGAUGCUUUCAUGGACUGCUGUCGCUGGGCUGUGGCCUCAAGACUCAUACCUUCUCUGGGUUUCCUCUACUCCCCACCCCUCUCAAGUCGUCAUCCAUCCUUGCCGGACUGCCCUGAGGUGUCCACUCAGCCCAGGCCCUCAGAUCUACCUAGGUAAAGGUAGGUCAUUGGAAACCAGUGGUCUCUUUAUCCAGAUCCAUCCUUCGUAGAAGGCAAGUGCUAGCUUAUUUGUACUGGAAGAUUUCUAAAAGCAUGCAAACUAAAAAUAAGCCUUUCCCAGUUCUUUUUCAAAAUUACAUCAAGCAAGAAGCAAAAAUUUCUGCAGUCUAUUAACAUUUGUCAAUCAAGAUCUUUCCCAAAGGUCAAUCAACUUUAUGCAUAUGUAACACGUGCACUCACAUAUGUCUAGAAAAUAAUAUGACAAGCAUGUUGAUCUGUUUUUUCAUUUUACAAUACAACUCCUCACCUCACUUGCAGCCUAGUAGUCCAUACACUAGAUGCAUUGUGAGCCGUUUUUCUGUUGGUAGACACUUACGAUGAUUCAACUUGUUUGCAUUUACAAAUGACACUGCCAUAGAUAUCUCUGUACACGAAUCCUUGCAUACUCUUGCUCUUAUCUCUGGAGUAUGCAUUCCUAGAGGUUAGGCCGUGAAGUCAAGCAACACGCAGAUUCUUAACCUCCUAGCAAUUGCAUCAUUCCUGUCUCCAGCUUGUGCUAGUUUGUACUCCCACUGCAUGUGGAAUAAGGGUGCCUCUCUCCUGCUUGCCUUCCAGCCCUGGCACCACCUCAUCGCUAGACAGAUGAAGGAGCAGCAAAGGGACAUCUUAGUUGUCCAAUAAUACACACCGAGGUAUUGGCAAAGUGGGGCCCAAGGUUCCAACUUUGUUGUUGCUGUACAAUAAGAUAAGGCAUGCAAAAUAGUAAGGACCUUGUUUGGUGUGCAAGACGAACCGGAGUGGAGAGAGAACAGAGAGAGGAGGCUCCAGGUGGGUCUUCCAAGGCUGUGUGUAAUAAAGGCCCCUCCUCUCACUUCUCCUUGCACUCUGCGGCCGUAUCCUCACAUCAAGUCGAAUGUGUUGAGUCGUUGUCCACCAUGACACUGGCCCUGGAGGGCAAGGAAGUGAGAAGCUCUGUCCUCUGACAUCAGAGACUGAGGACCUGUAGGCAAAGACCCUGUGGUCAUGCUCAGAUACCCAAAAGGAAUUUGAAGUGAUAAGCUUCCAAGGUUAAGAGUCACUCACUCAAUCAGUCGCUUACUGUCUGAAAGUUACUAAGGAAGAAGAGACACACAGUUAUUGCAUGAUUUUUUUUUUGCAAGAUUCCUCCUCUCAAUUAAAGUGAGAACUCCUUAAAGGAGGGAGCCUUUGAAACAAAAGAUAUGUAUUUAUUUACCACCUAUAUGCAAUGUACCAUGUGCAAAGUGAACUGGUAAUAUACAAAAUGUGAAGGCAAGGCCCAAAUUGCUUUGAAACCCCAUAGGAAGGUAAAACAAAAAAUCAUACCUAAACAUUUUUACUACCCCCUCCGCUGUGAUUAGUGUGUGGAGGAACCCACAGCAGGCACCCAACACACAUUCAAAGUGGGAAAAAGUCACAGGAUUGAUUUUUGGUGUGAUUUAAAGAAAUCAGUCCUUUCACUUUAGAGUCAUGUGUCACAGCCAAGGAAUGACUAACUCAUCAUGUGAUUUAUUUCUCUACGAGUCUACUACACCUCUGCAAAGUGAAAACCACUCUCAGAGCUACCCCGGGGCUAGACUGCUGCUGGCCUAUCUACUGCACGAUUCCCUGGGCAUGCCCCUCAUUCCUCAGCUGCAAGUUCAGAUCUGGGUGUACCAGAGAGGGAUGUCUGGGGGAAUGGGAUCAUGGGAGGUAACAGCCACUGGAAGAAUUUGGCCCCAAAGCCAAGGACUCCUCAAUCAAUAUGCAUGACUUUCAGAAUUCCUAUUUUAAUCAGCGAAACGGAAAUGAAAUUCCCAAUGUAGCUUUUAGUUAAGAAAAAUAAAUUACAAGUGGUAUAUGAUAUUCAUGCAUACCAUUUCCUCUGAAAUUCUUUUUAAGAAUUGAAGAAAAUAACCAUAUAACAUACUGGAAAGAACACUAGCUUAGGAGUCCAGAGUUUUAGUUUCAUGCCCUAAAAUUAUCACCUGGUGACUAUGUGAUCCAAAGUCUUAAGUUCCCCAUCUAACCUCUUUUCACUCAUGUAUAGAAGGAAUUUUUUUUUUUAAGAUUUUAUUUAUUUAUUUGAGAGGUAGAGCUACAGACAGUGAGAGGGAGAGACAGAGAGAAAGGUCUUCUGUCCGUUGGUUCACUUUCCAAAUAGCCAUAACAGCUGGAGCUGCGCCAAUCCGAAGCCAGGAGCCAGGAACUUCUUCUGGUCUCCCAUAUGGGUGCAGGGGCCCAAGGUCUUUGGCCAUCUUCUACUACUUUCCCAGGCCAUGGCAGAGAGCUGGAUUGUAAGAGGAGCAGCCAGGACUAGAACUGGUGCCCAUAUGGGAUGCAGGUGCUGCAGGCAGAGGAUUAACCUACUGAGCCACAGCGCCAGCCCCUAGAAUGACUGUUGAUGACUUGUAAGCCCCUAGUUCAACUCCAGUGAUAAAUGAGUUCAUACUUCCCGAAUUAAUGCUGAAGACCCACCAUCCAUUCAUCCUCUCCACAAAUAUAUACUGAAUUCUUACUUGGGUAAUAUCCAUGUGAUUUGAGUCCUCUGCUCUGAAUUGAUUAGUUGGUGGCAUCAUUAUGGUUCCAAACACCCAGACUCAAAAUCUGUGGUGAUUCCUGACUCCUCUCUCCUGCCCUCCUCAUAUUCAAUCAGCUCCUGAUGACCACUCUCUCUCUACAUCUAUUUCUGGUCCAUCCUAUACCCUCCUUGCCCACUCCACUGCUCCUUCCCCAGCUUCAUCAGUUUUCACUUGAGCUGUUGCAAAAAAUUCUAAGGUUUUCCAGCCUCAAGACACUUCCUUCCCAAACCACUAUACUUGCUAUUUCUAGUGUUAUCUACAAUUGUUCGUUUUUUAAAAAGAUUUAUUUAUUUAUUUGAAAGGCAGAGUUCAGAGAGGCAGAAGCAGAGAGAGAAAGAGAGACAGAGAGAGAGAGAGAGAGAGUCUUCCAUCCAGUGGUUCACUCCCCAGAUGGCCGCAACAGCCAGAGUUGGGCCGAUCCGGAGCCAGGAGCCGGGAGCUGGGAGCUAGGAGCCUCUUCCGGGUCUCCCAUGUGGGUGCAGGAGCCCAAGGACUUGGGCCAUCUUCCACUGCUUUCCUAGACCAUAGCAGAGAGCUGGAUCAGAAGUGAAGCAACCAGGACUCCAACCGGCACCCAUAUGGGAUGCCAGCACUGCGGGCAAUGGCUUUAUCUGCUAUGCCACAGCACCAGCCCCCAAUUUUUCAUUUUAAUCAAUGUUUUCUGAAGGUUUGUUCAAUGCCAGUACAGAGCUGAGAGUCCAGAAAGAAAGAGAGACCCACUGACAGAUGAGAGCAGUAGUGUGUGGGAUGACAACAGUGGAGAGGGAGGGUGAUCCGCUUCUUCCUUUCUCAUAAAGCUGUCCUCCCAUAUUGUUUCCUGUUUUAUGUUUCUGGCAUCUCAUUCAUCACAUUCUUCUGCAGAUCACUUUCCUGUUACUCUGCUCACAUCUUGAUGGUAGGGACCGGACAAAUUCAAGCCAUCUUUCCCAGAAACCUCCAGUAGCUCCCUUUUGCCCUCGGGGAAGUCUUAACCUUUUCACUGGGCAUUGAGACUUUAGUUCUAUCUUUCCAGUUAGCUCUACUAAUCAGCCCAUAUUCAAUACAACCCAACCCUAAACCCUCUACCUUUUAUGUCCACGUUACCUCUGAAAGCUCACCCUUCAGCUAUACGACAGUGACUACAUCCAAACUCACCCAGGCACUGCCUUUGGGGUAAGCCAUUCCCUCUUCUGGGAAGGUCCAGUUCACUCUCAUUUCCCUCUUCCUUUGCCUGCAGGGUCUAGUUUAAAUUCUAUCCCUUCUAAGAAUGUUUGUGGAGAGCCAGAUCCGCCCAUUCGAAAUUCAUUUUCACCUGCUCACUGCUGCUUCUCACAGUAAAGACUUUAUUAUUCAUCGUAGUCUACUUUUUGCAAAGGUUUUAUAAUCCUUGAGAGCCUUGGGAGAGGUUGUCCCAUGUCUUUUGAUGUGGGAUUUUCCACAAUAAGAAAACUGAAGAUCUGAUCCAGUUAACUCUACGAAGAGCAGUUGCACAUGUCAGGUACUGCACAAGAUGUGUGACGAUUCAUCCUCAUAACAGACCUUGAAACUGAGCACAAGGCCCCAGCAGGUGAGACUAUGUAAGUUUGAACAAGAUGCUGUUAACAACCAGGCUACUCUGCUUCUCAUCAAGGGGCCACCAGGACCCCUGUUGAACGGUUUUGCUGCCAUUUGGAGAAAAGGCUGAAGAUGCCUUCAAGCGGCACUUCCUGACUGCCUAGGGAGAUUUCCAAAGGUUUUAUGAAAAACUUGGUAUCUUAUCUUAUCCCUAAAGACUGAACAGGAAUUUAACAAAGGAACAAAAAAAGAUAUUCUAGUAAGAGAACAAAUUUUGAAGUAAGUCUCCCAUGGAGUGGGGGUGUUUUUGAGAAGAUGAGAGCUGUCUACUGAGUCACUUCCCCAUGAGACAAGCAUCAAGGGAAGGAAGCAGCUUGCUCAGUGCUGUAUUCCUUUUGCCCACAGCAGAGUCUAAUGCAGCGCACAUGCUGGAGAAACACUGGGUAGAAAUUAACCUCAAUAUAUACCACCUAAGCAGUUAGCUAUGAAUAUGCCGUUUUAAACUCACUCUUGGCCUUGAAUGCCAAUGAACGCCCUAGUUGUCUUUAUAAAGGCUUUAAAAGCCCAAACUCAAACCUGUAGACCCUGAAAGUGAAACCUCCAGUCCCUAGAAAGUUUCACUGGCCAACCCAGUUUCACUGACUGGCUGCGUAAAAAACAAACAUUAAAGCAACUGAACAAGCUAUAAAAAAUGAAAUUUUUAAAACUCAGUUCCAAGAAACUCAGUUAUUUUCAGUAAUGUGCCUCCUGCUGGAAACCGAAGGGCUUCGAUGAUGUCAGUUUCAUUUCCAACAGAGAACUUUCCCUCCUCUCCCCUUGGAGAGAGAGUGAAAGCCCCUCUGCCAGCAGCCGUGCCAUGGGCAUGGCAGAAAGGGAAGACAUAAAGGGAACUGGGGCAGAUCAAGGCGCUUCCUCUCACGGCAUAGGGGCCGUUUCAAACCUUCUCGCUUCCUAUCAGAAAAGCCAUAAGCAACUCUGUGUCUGGGCACACUCACAGCACCAUAGUUGUUGAAUCUGUGAGCUGGGAAUCAGCUCAAAGCAGAGCUCUUGCGAAGGGACCAGAGCAUGAAGGAGAAAAUCUGCUCAGCUUGGGGCGGGAGGAAAGUCUUUUCCUUCUCCACCGUGGAAGAGCUGGGUGACCAUGAACAGUUGUUUCUUUUCUCUGGGUCUAAGUUUCCCCUUCCAGCUCUCACACAUUUGGCAGUUCUUCAUUUAGUAGAAGGGGAAAAAAAUGCUUGCAACACAAAAAUCUAUAGUUGGUUUUAAGAAGGAGACAUUUGGGUGGGCAUUUGGUUGACCUAGCAGUUAAGAUGUCUGGUCCCACAUAGGAGUACCUGGGUUCAACCUGCCUCCAGCUUCUUGCAGUAUAGACCCUGGGUGGCAGCAGGUGAUAGCUCAAAUAAUUGGAUUCAUGCCAUUUAUGUGGGAGAACCGAGUUCCUGGCUCCCUCCUUUGGUCCAGCCCAUUGCAGGCAUCUGGGGAAUGAACCAGCAGAUGAGCACCACCUUCCCUCAAAUAAAUAGGUUUUUAGAGAGCUUUCUUUGUGCAUGAGAAUCUGGGAAGUAGAAGGUUUUUCUUUCCUCCAAACCAGAGUUUUAGAACCUUGGAACUGUAGACAUUCUGGGUGAACAAUUCUUUGUUUUAGGGGGAUGUCCUGUGCGAUGUGACUGUCUUGCAGUACCUCUGACUUCUAUCCCCAGAUACCAGGAUACCCACUCCCCAGAUGUGACAACCCAAAAUGUCUCGACAUUACCAUAAGCUUCCUAGGAGCAAAAUCACCCCAUGCUAAGAACUACGGUGAGUCAGCUGCAUUCCCAAUCAAACUGAGUGAAUUCUUUAGAGUAAUGCAGCUGAGGGUAGACUUGGGAAAGGAUGGGAGUUGGGCACGGCAGCUCCCUCCAUUCUCACCCACCUGAGGACGGGGUGGCCCAGAGAGCUCAGGACAGGUAGAGGGGCAUGAGGUCUGGAGGCAGCAAAGCUCACCUGAGUCCAUGCGUUAUUGUUGGCUGGCUCUGACACCUCCGCCACACUGCUUGCCUUCUUGGUGCUUCCGGGUCCCCUUGAAUCUGAAGGGUGUAACACCCCUGUUGCAUGAAUCAUCCUCCUCCUGCCCUUUCCCAGGGAGGACUAAAGGUAAUGUGUAUAAAAGACUGUAAGCUGGAAAGCACAGGAAAAAUAAGUGAUGGGCCUAAAAAGAAUUGUUUUUUCUUCUUGUAUUCCCUGAGAGAGCAAAGAAAACAACUUCAUCCCUGAAUAACUUUUCCGCCAAGCGUGGCAAAGAUGACAUCAUAACAGGUACCACCACAGCAGUAGUGCAAACAAACGUUGUUGAACACUCUCGGAGGGACUGCUGGGUACCAGCUGCAGGGCUAGACCCCACUGGCCUGUGAGUCAGUUUGCAUUUCUUCAGCAGACAUGAAAGUCCCCAGAAAGGGAGGCAUCAUGGUAAUGAGCAAGGGUAGUUCACACACCCAGUAGCAAGUUGGCCCUGUGCGGCCUCUUUCUUCAGCAUGGCUAUCACUCUGGAAGAUGUCUAUGUGGCUCAUGUCUUUAGCAACUGAGAACUUGGGAACCAAGAAAAGCUUCUGAAUGCUGGCCAUUUCCUCCCCGUUGGCAUUGGGGAGCUCUGCUCACAGCCAGGCCUAGGAGGAUGGCCCUUUCACAGCCCGAGGCGGAACCCCUGGUUUGAAUGGCACACUGGGGUUCUGGGAGUGUUCCCACGAACAGUGACAGUCUGGCAGAAAGUUGAGAUGCCGGGUCAACAGCCUGGUGGUUGUCGGGGAAGCUCAAUGGGCUCAGACACAAACUACAAUUUGAGACCAGAAGCCUCUGGGAUCCCAGGGUCAAGUACAAGUUGGAGGGAAAAAUAUAACUCACAUUUGCAAGUGCUUUGGUUUAUUGACUGUGUUUUCAUCCUUACGGUAGUAUAGAAAAGUGGUUAAGGCAUUUCUUUUUUCAUUUACUGCCUUUUUUAGAUUUAUUUAUUAUGAAAUUCAGAGUUACACACACAGAGAGAGAGAGAGAGAGAAAGAGAGAGAGAGAGAGAGAGUUCUCCUAUCUGCUGGUUUACUCUCCAGAUGGCCUCAAUGGGCAGUGCUGGAUCAGGCUAAAGCCAGGAGCUUCAUCCGGGUCUCCCACAUGGAUGGCAGGGGCCCAGACACUUGGGCCAUCUUCUGCUGCUUUCCCCAGGCCAUUAGCAGGGAGCUGGAUCAGAGCAGAGCAGCCGGAGCUCAAACUGCACCCACGUGGGAUGCGGGUGUUGCAGGUGGCAGCUUUACCUGCUAUACCACAACUUACUUCUGCGCCCUGGGUGUGUACCCUGGCUCUGCUCCUUGUUCUUCUGUGACUCUGGGCAACCAGGUGUUAUGAAAACAUCAGCGAUGCUACCUGAUGUGCUACUGAUCCGCACAGCCACCUCUAGGUCCGGGGUGUGAUCACCUUCACGUUGCAAGCAAAUGUAGUUGAGACAAGUGCAUCCUCACACAGCACGCCCACGCCCCUUUGCUCUACCAUUCCUUUUAGGUCACUCUGCCUUCUCUCUCUGCUAUCUAAAUGCCAUCUGUCCCUCGAAGUCUGCUCCGAUGCUACCUCCUCAAUGUCUUCUGCCUCCACAGUCGAAUUAAUCUCAGCUUCCUCCAAGCCCCAUCCAUGGUAUUUUGCUGUUAUCUCUAUUACACUGUGGCACCCACAUGGGCCUAAUAGUCUCAAAAAGACCCAAGAUAAGAACAAAACACACUGCAGAGUGUGAUAAAGGCCACCGAGAGAGGCAAGGGGGAAGCAUUGAGGAAGUUCAAAGGCAGACAGGUCUCCUCCUCUGCCUCUCUCAUCUGGAGUCAUUAUCCCCCGCAGUACCUGUUACAGGUGCUCCCAGUUUCUCCCAUCUGGCAGUCAGGAUACAUCACGGUGCAUUUGAAAGCCCUCACCACACUGUGGCCCCCCGCCAAAGCUAGCUCUGUGUUUGCUGUCUUCCUUGCGGGACCGAGCCACGUGGGUGGAGGGGCAGCUUGGAUUCACUUCUGCAUGGCCACAGCACACAGAGGGGGAGGGGCCAAGGUUGUCAGUGCUCCCGGAACGCCUAUGGCUCUGAACUGAGACGAGCUUGCUGACGGUGGGCGACGGUGAUGAUGGCGAAGAUGGCGAUGGAUGACGACGGAGAUGAGGUUGAUAACAAGGAGCUUAUCUGAACCGAAACCCAGCCGUCACGCAGGGUGGUGUGCUCACGACAUUUCGCUAUGACUGAGUGAGCAACAAGAUAUCCACGAAUCAGACCCAGUAACCUAGCCCACUUGUUUGCUGGCAGACUGCAAAGAAAGUGGAAACUGGAAACUGGAAAGGCGUAGAGGUGGGGACUGCCUUAUCAGCCGGAGCCCCUCCUAUAGAGUAACGCAGAGGGCGUGGCGUGUGGAAACUGUCUUCCCGGAGUUGUUUAAAAUCUGUAACUUUUCAGGUUGUUGUAGAGGCUCCAUUUAUUAUUAUUCUCAUUGGAGAAGAGGUAAAAAAAAAAUCCGAAAUUAUAGAUAAGAGUAGGAAUGUCAAUUACAGGGAGUUGAAUACUAUUAAAGUUAUUGCAAUCUCCUUCUCCCACCUGUCUGAGUUUAUGUAGCUGAGCUCAUACUGAUCCUGCAUGUUACAAAAUAUAUUUGAUUUAUUUAUCAUCUCGAUAGCACACAUAGAAGGUGCAAAAUUCCCAUGGUACAAAAGGACAAGCAGUGAAGACCAGGUUGUCUCCUCCUGUCCUACCACGCAGCUAGCCACCAGUUUGCUCCCAGCCUCUCGUAGAAGAGUGCUGUGCGAUAGCUGACACUAUGCGUUGUGGAGAGAGUUAAUGGCCCUUAUCCUUCAAGGUUCUCAAGAACCACAAAUUGCCUGUGAGAAGGAAACAAGUCCCUCAUGCAAUGCAUCUGUGUGGCUGAACGACUGUCCUAUUACCUCCAUGCCAGUUACAUGACAAAGUGAUACAAGUGCGAUGCUUCCUCUAAAGACUCAACUCUCUGGACAACAGCAGUUGGAGGUACCCAGCCAGGACAUUCUCCCCUAACAGGUCUCCUUCCCAAAGACUUCCCCAAAUGCUCUUGGCACACACCUGGGGCUCCCAAAGCUCAAGAAUGCAGAGAUGGGGGACAGCCGUCCCUGCUUUGCCGUGGCCCAGGCCCAGCCCCAGGGGCAGAGCUCUCCUCCCCAGAUCAGAGCUGGCAGGCACUUCCUCAUCCUGUUCUGCCCUAGCGUGCUGGGGGCAGGGUAGCAGCCCUGGGAUGGGUGGGUGGGGGAAUUCCAGUUCAAAUGAAGCAGUUCAAAGAAAGUCAUUUCCAUAAAACCUUGCUUAAAAUGGAGAGAGCCAUUUCUAUACUUACCCAGCUCCAGCCUCCUCAUAGCAGCCCUCUUAAGCCCUCCACGCACGCACAUAGAGAGGCAAGCGAGCGGGAUCAGGGCCUCGCUGGGAUCCUGCGCCGGGCAUGCGCGUGCCGCCCCGCUGCUGCCGCGUCGUCGCCAGUCUUCCUGCCCAAGCACUCACCGCCCACCGCCACCUUGGGCAUCUUGUCUUGAGUAGGCAGAGUCAGGUUUUCAGGAAUCCGCCACAGUUUGGAAGUUUAUUUACCAGCGAAGUGAUUUCCCUCCCGGCUCUGCCUCUCCUCCCAGUACCCAUCUGAGAAAGUCACAGAAGGCAUCUGGGAUUCACAACACCCCCCCUGCCAGCCCCCUCUGAAUAACACGGCGUCUGGCAACAGGAGGCGUCUGAUUACAUUCGGGUGGAACGCAGGCAUCAACUCCAGUUGUCUCUGGAUCGCAACGGAUGGGCCUCACGUGCUGCAGCCAACAGUUUGCCUGCACCCACUCCCCUCUCCGCAAUGAACCUUUCUCCAGGAAAACAGGAAACCUACGUGCCAUCCCGGGUGAGAACAAACAGGAGCCGCGCCGGGGUGUUGCAUCCCCGGGAAGAGCAGGCAGUGAGAAGCCUGCAACCAUGAGCCAGGGCCAAGCCUCUCCGGAGGGAACCUCUGAAGCAAAGGGCCCAGUGCCCUGGGAAGUGCUGUGGGCUCCAUGGUCGUUGCAUGUGGCAAGGACUGAGUUCUCAGUGCAUGCCGGGUAAGGCACCACGUUGCUGUCUCCUGCAGAGAACCUUCAUACCCUCACUCACCACUCUAGGACUUGCCUGCUGUUCUGCAGGUGCAACCCCGGCUCCCCAAAGAGGUCCAGGUCCUAAUCCCCACAACCCACCAACACACGCUUUUACAUGACAAGAGGACUUUCAGUUUGCUUCGAAUGACCUUAAAAUAGGGACACUGCCCAGGAUCAUCCCAAAGGGAAGGGGAAGAGAGGAGAGUUAAGAACCCCCAUCAGGACAUUAGGAGUGAGACUCCCCCUGCCGCUGUUGCCUUUGGAGAUGGAGAAGGGAGUUAGGUGCCAAGGCCUGCGGGCAGCCUCUACAACCUGAAAACAGCAGGAAAACCCGCUGUCUUCAAUGCUAGCACACGGAGACUGAUUCCAGUCUCUGAGCCCCAGAACUGUGUGGCUGCAGUAAUGUUAGGAAACCAGUGCAGGCAGUUUGCCAGGCCUACUGCGUGCUCCUCCCACAGCAUGUGGUGUGCGCCUUCCAACUGUCAGCAGGGCCCACCCAGGGAAACUGAGGCCACCAGGAGCAUCUAAGCAGAGGGAACUUAACACAAGUCAUUGGCUGUAUGGGAGAUGGAAGAAGGUGAGAAGUUCAUGCUGGCAUUGGCCCUAGCCAUGUGCUAGAGGGACAAAGAGAGGAGCACAUGUGACUGGAGACCACAGCAGAAGCUGAACCGUGGUGGGCCUGGGGCAUGGAGCAGAGCCCAGCUGGAGAGACUGGCUGAGGCACGGAGGGAGAGAGAGAGGGACCCUGGCUUCUCCCUCCGCUGUGCUCAGUCUCCUGCCGUGCCUCCCAGUGGCUGUAUCCAGCAAGAAGCCAGCAAGAGCCUAGGAUCCUCAAAGAGCUGGCCUGGGAGGCACAAGGCAGAGCUGGUGCUGGGCAAGGAGGGAUGAAUGGGUCCUUCUGUUCUGCACGGGUCACGUGCGUCUUGAAAUUUAACUGGUACUGGGGCCAGCGCUGUGGCGCAGUAGGUUAAUCCUCCGCCUGCGGCACUGGCUUCCCACAUAGGCACCAGUUCUAGUAUCGGCUGCUCCUCUUCCAGUCCAGCUCUCUGCUCUGGCCCGGGAAGGCAGUGGAGGAUGACCCAAGUGCUUGGGCCCUGCACCCGCAUGGGAGACCAGGAGAAGCACCUGGUUCCUGGCUUCGGAUCAGCGCAGCUCCCGGCCGUUGCAGCCAUUUGGGAGGUGAACCAGUGGAUGGAAGACCUCUCUCUCUGUCUCUCCCUCUCACUGUCUGUAACUCUACCUCUCAAAUAAAUAAAGUAAGUCUUAAAAAAAAAAAAAAAAAGAAAAGAAAUGUAAUUGAUACUGCAAAAUCCAAAUUCUUUACCAUGGCUUCCAAGAGGCCCCACUGCCUUAGCCCCUCCCUGGCUUCUCUCCCUUCAUCCCAGGUGUUCUCCUCUUUCACAACACCACCCUGAAUGCCCGACACACCAGGAAAGUCCUGUCUGUUAUGGGAUCUGCACUUGCUCAAGGUAGGCCCUGCCAAACUGCCCUCCUCUUGUCUCUCCCUUAACUGAUAAUCGUUCAUUGUUGGUUCUCGGCUCGACUGUCCAUUUAGCACAGCCCCUGUCACCUAGUCUCCAUCAUCAAGCCCUGUUUGAUUUCCUGCAUGCUUUGGUUCUGUGUUUACUUGUUUAGCACAACCUCCCCCAGACUGUUGGCUCCUUGAGGGCAAGGGUUGUUUAUCUCAUUUCUUUCUGUGUCCAUUGCUCCUUGGAAACAGAGCAGGGCUCAUUUCGAAUCGCUUUAAAGUUGGGGCCACUGGGUCCCAGCUAAUGGAACAAGGGUGGAAAUCUGUGAUGCUCCUUCCAGGCUUGGCUAUGGGAACCUCCCAGUGCCUACCCCUGCAUGUUUUCCCCUCCCUGUCCGAUAAUGACAAAGCCCCAGGGAAUGGUGGGGCCACAAGAUGAAAGGAACCUGGGCUCUUGUGUGACUAAGUGCACGAGAGUUGCCCCGGCAACCUGUGUACCCAUCCUGGACUGUUAGAUGAACAAGAAGGAACUUCUGUGUUGACUCAUUCCAUCAGCCUACCCUAACUGAAACAAUUCCCAAUGCCAAAAACAACACCUGGCGAAGCACAGUGGACUAUUAGACGCUCGGCAACCAUGGGUUCGGUAUUGGAUGUGUCUUCUUCCUGUUUUCCCUUCAUUCUCUGAACUCCUUGGGGACAUUCUCCAAAUACUCCAUGCCUCCCCCAGUACCUGAACCUCAGCAGUGGUUCAGCGGGUCUGUUUCUGUGCUCCAGGAGGGAGACAGACAAUUGCUGACACAGCACGGCCUGGAAGUGCGAGUCUGAGGAGGUGAAGGUGUCAGGCUACCUGCCCAGGUUUGCGCGGCUCUCUUGGGCUUUCAAAGGCUUCUGCACUUGAUCCUUGUUUAUAACCACUCUGCAACGUAAUUACUGUUAUGAUUCCCAUUUUACAGAUAACAAAUCUGAGCGCGCAGAGGUUAAGUGUCUUGCUCAAGAUCGCAGCUCUUUCAAGUGACGAGGCUGGAAUUAAUUCCUGAUUCACAAAUACUCAUGGAGUGUCUACAAUGGGCUAACCCCUGGUCGUAGCCUCUCUCUACAAUCCUGUAGGGGCUCAGGAAACAUGAGAGCAUGAAGUUCUGAAGAAAUCGGAAUCACCUUCCAGAAGAGAACUGGGGGCCCCCUCCCCCAGGCUGCAGCUGCAGCCCCUGCUGUGUGCCGGGGAAGCGGGGUCCUGGGUGGCCUGCCAGGCUUGCCUGCAGUCAGCCAGCGCGCAGCGAGCCCCCAGCAGCUCUCCCACGGGUCCCUGCUGACGGCCCUGACGUGCGAAGUCUGCCCUUUUCCAUACAUUCUUUCCUCUUUCCCGUGCCAAGAUUUCAGCAGACAACUCCGAGCGGGUUCCAGGCCAUUUAGCCCAGUCAGAGAUGUGGGGGAAAGUUCCCUCCCACUCAUCCCCGAGCCCCAGAUAAGCCAUCAGGGUGUGAGCAGCCUGCGCAGGGGAGGGCGGAGGAGAGCUCCUGGAGGCUUGCACGCGCAGGGGCGCAGCCAGCGUCUCUGCAGCUGCCGCGUUUACCCACUGAGUGUGUUCCUAACAGGCUGCAAGGAAAGUGGGACAAAAAGCCAAGGAGGAGAACGUUCAUUGUUUACACACAGCCUGGGCUGUCUCUGGCACGCUGGAUUCUCUACCAGUGCAAAGAGGGCAAGCUCUGGUGUCUGAAGGGGCCAAUGGCUAAGAGAGAGCAGGUGAUGGGGGGGGGGGGCCUUGCAGGGGCUCAGCCUUGCCCAGCCUGGAGACGCUCCCCGCGGACUGUAAAUAAAUCCGGGCUGCUGUCACUGUGCAGGACGUCUCACAUACCGUCCCUCUGAGGUGGGGUGAAACACAAAUAUGCCUUUUCAUAAUAGCUUUACACCUGGAGCAGCAGAGGACCGGUUUAUUACCUUGGUAAACAAAAGUCAGAAUUCAAGCAAAGUACAAACUUUGCCCAAGGCACUUCUGACAGUGCACCUUGUGUUUGUGAAGUGAACUCGACACAGAUACCACGUGAAGCAACCAGAGGCUGCGCGCUCUCUCUCUUUUUUCCCCUCUUGUCUUAUUUCCUAGGUUUAAAAGUUCAUGUGUGUGUGUGUGUGAGAGAGAGAGAGAGAGAGAGAGAGGGGAGGUCACAAGAAUUUACUUUGGCUCUGGCUUUUUCCAGCAUUUUGAAAUCAUGCUGUUUAGUGUGAAAAAAAUACGUGAGCCAAUUUAUAUUGUUUUCCAGAGAUAAUGUGCUUCUUGCCGCUGUCAGAUUGACAGGGGUUGAGAGUGGGAGACAGGGUAAACCAGUUUGGGGAACACACAAAGGAACCGGGAUUGGCAUUAAAUCUUACUUAAUCAAACACUAAAAAAUAAUAAAUAUUUAUCCAGUGCUGAUUUUGUGCCAAGCGCAGAACCAUGACCUUUCGUCAACACUAUUCCACCAAGGCUUCGUGACCACAUGAAGUAGGGAUCCAGGAUCAAAUGGCCCAUUUCCUAGGUGGGGAGACAGGGGUCUGGUUGGUGCAAUGAUUCAAGCGCCAGUUUUUUGAUCCAGAUUUAGGCUUUUUGUCUGUCCUGCGAGGUGCACCCAGGGCCAGAGACUAUGUGGCAGCUUCUCUGUUGGCUUUUCGCCUUCUGCUGCCUCAUUCUCUGCCUGCCCUUGGGAGCAAUAACUCGUCUUCCCUGUUCUUAGAGGCAUCUUUGCCCAGAGGAUUUGGAGACUAGCUGUCAGCCACCUGGUCAUCUGGGCCACCUCUCACCACCCAGCACUUUCAGGCAUUCCAGCACAAAGGAUGGGAGAGGUGUGGAACAGGUCUCCUCUCAAAACUCACGUAGGCUUACAAGCAAAGGCCACGACAAGGCAACAGGAACAGCUCCCAGGUUUGGGUGGCUCUGCAGAUGCCUCUGCCUUCUCUCGUCUCCAGCUUGAAUAAAUCAGAUAAGCUCCAGCAAAAGCAUCUGAACUUUGUGGAUUCUUUUCCAAAACAAGCCUUUGAACCUGAGGAACUUUGCUCAUCUCUGCGUGUUUGCUCCUCAAACGUUCAGCUGGGGCUUGCCCGUAGUGCAGCUCAAGCUGGUGAGAUUUUAACUCUUUCGUCCGCCGAUUAAUUCCCAAGCCUCCCAAAAUAAGAGGGAAUUCACUGGGCUUUCUUUCUUUCUUUCUUUCUUUCUUUCUUUCUUUCUUUCUUUCUUUCUUUCUUUCUUUCUUUCUUUCUUCCUUCCUUCCUUCCUUCCUUCCUUCCUUCCUUCCUUCCUUCCUUUCUUUCGAAGUCCCUAUGAGUGUGUCAGCUUGUGCCUGUCUCUACAAAUGAAGGAUUCCUUGAGGGAACAUAUUAAAUUGAGCCUAGGGAGAGGUGAUGUCAUCAAGACAUUGUGAACUCAGCAGUUUCAAGGCACCAGCACUGUGGCUGCUUGUGCUUAACAGGAUUUGGGGAGGAAGCGCCGUCUCCCUCCUCCAACACCCCUUCCACCCCCAUCCCCUCCCACUGAUGCAUCUUUAAUUGCAGUGCCUUGGGGAAUGCCUUUGGCUUUAUUUAUUGCAAGCUUUCAAAAAACUAUUGGAAUAGGGAUCCUUAGUGCAAUGCAACAGAUUUCAGUUGCAAAUGGAUUAAACACAACUCCUGAGCUGGAGCCCCUGAUUGCAGCCUAGGGGUCUCAGGGCUGUGUGACGAAGGAUGCUCGCUUCAGAGACUCUGCUCUGAAAACCCAGGAGAGCCAAAGCAGAGGAAUGUUAGCCCUUGCAGGAACUUUCCAGAGCAGAAGGAGACCAAGGCUCAGAGGGGACAAAGCAAGGCCGAGGCUCACCCCUCCAGCAGCAGCAAGCCUCUGUGGCUCCUGGGAGGACCCUCAGAGCUUCCCCCGUGCCGCCUUUCAUACCUGCGGAAAGUGAGAUUGAAUCAGAAUGGCCCCCUGUCCUGGCCUGGAUCCCCUUCAUGUGGCUUCUCCCCACUGCUUGUCUAUACACGUCCAAAGAGAGAUGUUUACUCAGAGACGGAAGAGCGACGAGUGGUCUGCAGUACUUCUGAAACACGGGUGGGAAGCGUUCUGCAGGGUUAAGAGACGCGAGUGCAUCUUCACGUGGUUACGGCGCCAGGCAGAACAGCACUUCUUAAAACCAAAUCUGCCUCCUUCCCUCCUUCCGAUCUGAUUCUCGUUAGCUCUUUGGAUUUUCUUGUCGGUGACUAAGUUGCCACAGUGUCCCGUCCCUGGGAAGUGAAGGUUGCCCAUACACUGAAGUGACCAAGAGGACACUGGACUGUGGGGGCCAGAAGCUGGAAGGUGAUACUCGGCGCUGCACCCCUCAGUUUACAGAUGAGUAGCAGCAUGGGGCUGAGAGAGGUUGAGUGACUUACCGGGUUUACUCAGCACAUUAGCCGACCGCAAACCAUUGAUUUGCCCAACCGUGUGGAAGAGGACUCCUCUGACUGACAAUUCUGAAGCAUCGCUCUAUAUAAUAAGCAGGUGUCUUUUAUGAAUAAUUAAUGGAUCAUGCCCCACUCCAAGGAGCUGAACACUGACUGCAGCCUGGGCCGAAUGAGCCCACGGGAAUCUGUACACGGUACUCCUCGCCACCUUUUGUUUCAUAGAAAGACCGGGACACAGAAGUCAGAGGAAAUUUCCAAGAUUGCACGAUGAAUCAGCAGAGGCUCUGAAGCAAUAUGCUGUUACUGGAUGAGGGAUCAAAAGACACCAAUUCCAGCCUGCACACUGUCUCUGGGCGUGUGGCAGAGCUGGGAUGACACUUCCCUCUGUCUCGGUUUCCCCACCCUGGAAGGGCUUUGCUGGAUGACCUCUGAGAGCUUUCAGCUCUGAUGGCCUCGCAGGUAUAGGGCACAAGGCUUGGAGCCGUUUCGUGUCUAAAACAUAAUUGUGUGAAGCCGGAAGUUGACUGCCUUGAUGACAUACCCUUGGGGUUCUCACAGUGUAGAGGAUAAAUGGGUUAUUACUCCAAAACUGAAAGUGUCUCUUAGCAACUCAUAUAAAAAAUAUAAAAGCUUGCUUUUA